GUACUGAUGAGGUGUCCCAAACUAGGACGAAACAGCUGUCCAGUAC
rnacentral:hammerhead_ribozyme from 1 species